AAACUGAAUCAUAUAAUAUAUAAUUUACAGUCCUGUAUAUCUCCAAUAAUGUGAAACAUUGUGGAUAGAUUUCACAGCUGUCGAUGGGACUUUAAAAACUUGUGGGGAUACUGAUACUAUUAGUGUUGAUUUUACAGAUAACCAUUUCUGUCACAUUUAUCAUGACUCCUAAUCAGUCUCAAAUAUCUCGCACCAUCUCUAAUGUAUUACUUCAUAUUUUACUUUAGAAUAAUGCAAUACUAAAAUAUAGUAGGUUUUAUUCUAAUAUAUUACUUUAUUUUUUUACUCUAAAAAUAAAUAUUCCAAAAAAAUUCUAUCUUUAUUUAAUUAAUAAUUGUUACUAACACCUUCUAC
rnacentral:lncRNA from 1 species